rnacentral:rRNA from 1 species
UGGCGGACGGGUGAGUAACGCGUGAGAAUCUGCCUUCAGGACGGAGACAACAGUUGGAAACGACUGCUAAGCCCCGAUGAACCGAAAGGGAAAAUAUUUAUGGCCUGAAGAUGAGCUCGCGUCCGAUUAGCUAGUUGGCGGAGUAAAAGCCCACCAAGGCGACGAUCGGUAGCUGGUCUGAGAGGACGAUCAGCCACACUGGGACUGAGACACGGCCCAG